UACGUAGGUGACCAGCGUUGUCCGGAUUUACUGGGCGUAAAGCGCGCGCAGGUGGUCUUUCAAGUCAGUGGUGAAAGCCCGGAGCUCAACUCCGGAAAUGCCAUUGAAACUGUAAGACUUGAGGAUGAGAGAGGUGAGUGGAAUUCCCAGUGUAGAGGUGAAAUUCGUAGAUAUUGGGAAGAACACCGGUGGCGAAGGCGGCUCACUGGCUCAUAUCUGACGCUCAGGCGCGACAGCGUGGGGAUCAAACAGG
rnacentral:rRNA from 1 species